GAGGUCACAAGAAAGCGACAGUUCCAGCCCCUUCUCCGUUGACGGCGAUUCGAUGCCGAUUCGGCUUUCAUUCACCAUAAAAAACGCUCGGAGUAAAUGAUUCGUGAUUGCUCCACUCAAUCCGCUCUUCCACUAUGUGUAUUCAAAGCAUACUUCAAGGUCAGGGGCUGUGUGUUUAUGUAUAAAUAGAUUCCGGCAAGUGUUCUUCCACUGUUGAUGUUAGAUUUCUUCGUCUAAUGGUUCCACCGUUAGCUAUUGUGGCAAAGAAACGUAUCGUUGCAGUGCCGGCCGCCUUCUACAGCAGAAGACGAGAUUCCAAAUAUCAGUCACUUAAUUGAGUUGGUGGUGGAACAGAGGACAAUAUCCCUGAAGCUCUAAGUAGUAUGCCUAAGCCUAAGGUACAUCUCUUCAUUAAUAAGAUUCUGCAACUUAGUAGAAAGGUGCGAGAAAUCAUGUGUUUGCGGUUUGACUUGAUUGGUAUCGGAGACUGGAGAUGGAGAACGAUUGUUUUGCGUUCCUCGCAUUGUUUUUUUUUGGUGUGACUACAUUAAGGUGAUGACUACAAUUCGGUAUGGGAACGAGCUACUAUGGGCAGCUUCGUCGCCACAGAAACUGAAGAUCGGUGUUGUUCUCUCCGGAGGUGAAGCACCUGGUAGGCCCACGCCCACAGUCAUAUAUGGACCAUUCGUGUUGCAUGCAGGGUGAUGUUGUCCUAAGAUUAUCACCUGCAAGUUUUCAUGCUGCUGUAGCAAAGACAUGCAUUGAGCUGAAGAAGCAUCUCAUCACUGCUAGCUAUGUUGAUGAUGGCUAAGAAUGAUUGGGUUACGAUUCUUGGUGAAACGACAUCUCAGAACUUGGAUAAUUUAGAAGGUGUCCUUAUAACCGAUGAAAAUGAUCAACAAGGCUCAUAUCAGCAAUGAGAAAGUGAAGUCUUUCACCUCUUUCUGUGGUAGCAUUCCCUUUCAUUCUGCAGUAAAUAAUCUAUUAGCAGAUUGAAUGGCUUCAGUUUGAUGUAUUCAAAUCAAUACAAUAAUGUGAUCACGAACUCAUAUUGAUCUUCCUCUUUUGUAACAAGUUUUUAAUCUUU